AUACGUAGGGUGCGAGCGUUGUCCGGAAUUACUGGGCGUAAAGAGCUCGUAGGUGGUUUGUCGCGUCGUCUGUGAAAUUCCGGGGCUUAACUCCGGGCGUGCAGGCGAUACGGGCAUAACUUGAGUACUGUAGGGGAGACUGGAAUUCCUGGUGUAGCGGUGAAAUGCGCAGAUAUCAGGAGGAACACCGGUGGCGAAGGCGGGUCUCUGGGCAGUAACUGACGCUGAGGAGCGAAAGCAUGGGUAGCGAACAGGAUUAGAUACCCUGGUAGUCCAUACCGUAAACGGUGGGCGCUAGGUGUAGGGGUCUUCCACGACUUCUGUGCCGUAGCUAACGCAUUAAGCGCCCCGCCUGGGGAGUACGGCCGCAAGGCUAAAACUCAAAUGAAUUGACGGGG
rnacentral:rRNA from 1 species